GACGAACGCUGGCGGCGUGCUUAACACAUGCAAGUCGAACGGAAAGGCCCUGCUGUUGUGGGGUGCUCGAGUGGCGAACGGGUGAGUAACACGUGAGUAACCUGCCCUUGACUUUGGGAUAACUUCAGGAAACUGGGACUAAUACCUGAUAGGAGCUCCUGCUGCAUGGUGGGGGUUGGAAAGUUUCGGCGGGUGGGGAUGGACUCGCGGCUUAUCAGUUUGGUGGUGGGGUAGUGGCUUACCAAGGCUUUGACGGGUAGCCGGCCUGAGAGGGUGACCGGCCACAUUGGGACUGAGAUACGGCCCAGACUCCUACGGGAGGCAGCAGUGGGGAAUAUUGCACAAUGGGCGGAAGCCUGAUGCAGCAACGCCGCGUGCGGGAUGACGGCCUUCGGGUUGUAAACCGCUUUCGCCUGUGACGAAGCGUGAGUGACGGUAAUGGGUAAAGAAGCACCGGCUAACUACGUG
rnacentral:rRNA from 1 species